rnacentral:rRNA from 1 species
AUUGAACGCUGGCGGCAGGCUUAACACAUGCAAGUCGAGCGGAGAUGAGGUGCUUGCACCUUAUCUUAGCGGCGGACGGGUGAGUAAUGCUUAGGAAUCUGCCAUUUAGUGGGGGACAACAUUCCGAAAGGAAUGCUAAUACCGCAUACGUCCUACGGGAGAAAGCAGGAGAUCUUCGGACCUUGCGCUAAAUGAUGAGCCUAAGUCGGAUUAGCUAGUUGGUGGGGUAAAGGCCUACCAAGGCGACGAUCUGUAGCGGGUCUGAGAGGAUGAUCCGCCACACUGGGACUGAGACACGGCCCAGACUCCUACGGGAGGAAGCAGUGGGGAAUAUUGGACAAUGGGCGGAAGCCUGAUCCAGCCAUGCCGCGUGUGUGAAGAAGGCCUUUUGGUUGUAAAGCACCUUAAGCGAGGAGGAGGCUACUAGUACUAAUACUACUGGAUAGUGGACGUUACUCGCAGAAUAAGCACCGGCUAACUCUGUGCCAGCCGCCGCGGUAACAC